UUUAAAUAUUUGGCUUUAAAUAUUGGUCUUUAAAUACAUGGAUUUGAAAUGUUGGACUUAAAUAUUGGACUUUAAGUAUUGGAAUAUGAAUUUGUACCUCAAAGACUCAAACAUGGUCGUUAAACAGGAAUUAAAUGAUGAAUUUGGAGGGUUAUUGGAAAGCAAGGACAUGGUAAAUACAAAAUAUUCCUUCCUGUUAUACUAACGAAAUUGAUCAAAACUUGUGUUUUAAAAUGAAAAGUUAGUAAAUAUUUAUCAAAACAUUGUUUUCUAGUAUAUCGCAGAAGUGAAAGCCUCGCCUGCGAACGGGCUAUCAAGCUGAAAUAUUAAAAAGUAGCCAUACAAG